GUGGUAACGCUUUAUCUGUCGAACAAUACGAGGAAAAAAAUGAAAAUAUUUCUAAAAUUUAUAAAUAAAAUUUGAAAACAUAGGCAUCUCUUGGGCCAAAAAACUUGACAUGUGCAAAAUUUGACGACAAUCGGACAAAUGUGGCCUUUACAAUGAUUUCUACGAUACAUGGGCCGACAGACGGACAUGGCAGAUCGAAUGAGAAAGUCAUUUUGAAGCGACCGGUCUACGGUUUAAAAUCUUAAAGUAAUAAAACCCUUUAUAACCGUAGUAUUAUCGGAUAUAAUUACAGACCUUUGUUACAAUGUUUAUCAUAUAAUGGAUAACACUUUCUUAAUAAAUACAAAUGCCACACUUUUUGUA
rnacentral:sRNA from 1 species